AAAGAAUGUGACCAAGUCCAACCAAAAGUUUCUCCACAACACAGCAGACAGAAACUUUUUUUCCCCCUGAAAUGGAUUAAGAGUUCCAUUGUUGCCAUCUUCACAUCUGCUCAGUCCAGGUUUGGAAGCAAAACCAGCAAGCCAUAGUGCAAAGUUCUCAGUACCUCAGCCCAUCCUGGAAAUAAAAGGGUACCUCCAUUGUGAAACAUUUCCUGAAAAACUUACACAGAUUGAGGAGGAAAUUCAAAAAGGCGUGUAA
rnacentral:lncRNA from 1 species